rnacentral:ncRNA from 1 species
UGCCCCUUGGCAAAAAUAGAGUCGAAACUGGAUUGGCCUAGUAAAUCCAUUAUGAUGUGAAAAGCCGAUAGACAAAAAUAAG